ACGAUAGAUACCUGGUUGAUUCUGCCAGUAGUCAUAUGCUUGUCUCAAAGAUUAAGCCAUGCAUGUCUAAGUAUAAGCAACUAUACGGUGAAACUGCGAAUGGCUCACAUUAAAUCAGUUAUCGUUUAUUUGAUAGUACCUUACUACUUGGGAUAACCGUGGUAAUUCUAGAGCUAAUACAUGCUGAAAACCCCGACUCGCGAAGGGGUGUAUUUAUUAGAUAAAAAACCAACGCCCUUCGGGGCUCCUUGGUGAUUCAUAAUAACUUAACGAAUCGCAUGGCCUUGCGCCGGCGAUGGUUCAUUCAAAUUUCUGCCCUAUCAACUUUCGAUGGUAGGAUAGUGGCCUACCAUGGUGUCAACGGGUAACGGGGAAUAAGGGUUCUAUUCCGGAGAGGGAGCCUGAGAAACGGCUACCACAUCCAAGGAAGGCAGCAGGCGCGCAAAUUACCCAAUCCCGAUACGGGGAGGUAGUGACAAUAAAUACUGAUUGCGAAUUCUUUCGGAUUUGCAAAUUGGAAUGAGUACAAUUUAAAUCCCUUUAACGAGGAACAAUUGGAGGGCAAGUCUGGUGGCCAGCAGCCGCGGUAAUUCCAGCUCCAAUAGCGUAUAUUAAAGUUGUUGCAGUUAAAAAGCUCGUAGUUGAACUUUGGGCCUGGCUGUCCGGUCCGCCUCACCGCGUGCACUGGUUCGGCCGGGCCUUUCCUUCUGGGGAACCGCAUGCCCUUCACUGGGUGUGUCGGGGAACCAGGACUUUUACUUUGAAAAAAUUAGAGUGUUCAAAGCAGGCCUAUGCUCGAAUACAUUAGCAUGGAAUAAUGAAAUAGGACGUGCGUCUCUAUUUUGUUGGUUUCUAGGGACGCCGUAAUGAUUAAUAGGGACAGUCGGGGGCGUCUGUAUUCAAUUGUCAGAGGUGAAAUUCUUGGAUUUAUUGAGGACAAACUACUGCGAAAGCAUUCGCCAAGGAUGUUUUCAUUAAUCAGUGAACGAAAGUUAGGGGUUCAAAGACGAUCCAGAUACCGUCGUAGUCUUAACCAUAAACUAUGCCGACUAGGGAUCGGACGGUGUUACAUUUUGACCCGUUCGGCACCUUACGAGAAAUCAAAGUUUUUGGGUUCUGGGGGGAGUAUGGUCGCAAGGCUGAAACUUAAAGAAAUUGACGGAAAGGCACCACCAGGCGUGGAGCCUGCGGCUUAAUUUGACUCAACACGGGGAAACUCACCAGGUCCAGACACAAUAAGGAUUGACAGAUUGAGAGCUCUUUCUUGAUUUUGUGGUUGGUGGUGCAUGGCCGUUCUUAGUUGGUGGAGUGAUUUGUCUGCUUAAUUGCGAUAACGAACGAGACCUUAACCUGCUAAAUAGCCAGGCCCGCUUUGGCGGGUCGCCGGCUUCUUAGAGGGACUAUCGGCUCAAGCCGAUGGAAGUUUGAGGCAAUAACAGGUCUGUGAUGCCCUUAGAUGUUCUGGGCCGCACGGCGCGCUACACUGACAGGGCCAACGAGUACACCACCUUGGCCGAAAGGUCUGGGUAAUCUUGUUAAACCCUGUCGUGCUGGGGAUCGAGCAUUGCAAUUAUUGCUCGUCAACGAGGAAUGCCUAGUAAGCGCAAGUCAUCAGCUUGCGUUGAUUACGUCCCUGCCCUUUGUACACACCGCCCGUCGCUACUACCGAUUGAAUGGCUCAGUGAGGCCUUCGGACCGGCUCAGGGAGGUCGGCAACGACCACCCAGAGCCGGAAAGUUCGUCAAACUUGGUCAUUUAGAGGAAGUAAAAGUCGUAACAAGGUGUCCUUCCGUAGGUGAACCUGCGGAAGGAUCAUUA
rnacentral:rRNA from 1 species